GAUUUCCGUGUCAUUUCCGUCCCGUGGCACAGUGAACAGCUGUUUGGCGGCCAGUAAUUGUGUGUUUUUGUUUUGCGGCUUGUGAUGCAGCAGGAGGAAAAAAUAUUCUCCAAUAUCCCUGGUGCUUAUCGAAAAGGUUUCGCGAUAUCCACGCAAAGCUUUCCCGAGGAUAUCUUCGACUAUGGACCUGUUCAAUACGUCCAUCAGGACGACGAAGACGGCCGUGAACAUAAUAUUAUCGUCGUUGAAUCGCAAGAAUGAUUUGAGCAAAAGGAGGCGCUGCCAAUUAGAUAAGUAUUUUUUGCGUUUUUUCAAUUUAAUUUGCAAUGUUUAUAACAAAUAGCUCAAGUGAGAAAGAAAAAACACGCUUGCACCUCUCUUUCCUUUACAUACAUUCUCCUCCUCCUCCUGCUCCUCCGUUUCUCUCUCUGCCUCUUAUGAGAAAUAAACUAUUUUUGGAAAACUACGAUUAAGCACCUUAUCACUUCUAAAAAAUCUCACUAUCGGAAAAGUUUUUCUCUAUAUAUCAACAAAAAAAUAAAGUUGUUACAAGUUUCUUUCAAGAGUUUGGCAAAAUAUUGUGUGUAGAUAGUGAGAAUUCUAGCAGAACAUAGUAAUAGAGCCGAAGCCGAAGUGUAAACAAAGAGUCUAACCUGCUCUUUCCUAAUGUAAACGUCAACUGACGUGAGCAGGAUUGACUCUUUGUUUACACGUCGGUUUCGGUACUAUUAUAAUGUUUUGCUUGAAUUGUCUAAUUAGUUGGAAUUGAAAAGAAAAUAAACCAUAAUAGACACAUUCCCCCCACAUUUUACUGCGACAGUGCGACAUCUUCAAAUUGCGUUUUGAGAAUUGAUACUUUGUGAUUUUUUUCUAUCUUUUUUCACAGGACUGAAUAUUGUUAUCAAAUCUGGGAUGACAUGUUGGAGAUGAACCUUAUAACGGUAACGUUUUGGAAUUUCUGAGUUUUUUUUAAAAGUCCUAUAAACAAACCUAUGAAAUACAAUAGCUUGAAGGACCUUUAAAAACUCUAGAUUUGUAACAUCGCACAUCGCAUAUUUAACAGUUUUCUUUUUUUUAGAUGGAUCAGCUACAAAUAGGAAUUUUAAUGCAGUACCUAACCUGUUGGAUGGAUAUGUGGCAAAUGGGCAGUAUUCAUGAUUGCUGAGAGUCGCAGGACUCUCGCCCUUUGCUAUUAGUAAGUAUCCAGCAAAGCAAAGUGUAUAGCAUGCAUUUGAUACUGUCAACUCCCAUUCGGCUGUGUUCUCGUCGCUGUCAUGUUGUAAACUGGAGCCGAGGGGGGUCCUGUUGUGAAUUCUAGUUGGAGGUGGUCCGAAGAUCAUUGAAGAAGGUAGAAUUCGCCAUCACCCAAGACACGAAGGCACGAAGGAUAGACCAUGUCUUGGGGGGUGAAAGGAUGAUAGGAUUUAGUGAUAAUACCACAAUUUUAAUAUUUGUCUUUCUCUCUUAUUUCAGACAAAAUGUCUGGUCCGAAUCCAAGGUGUUGCAGAAAUCUUCCACUAUACAGAAGGGGUCUUCCUUCUAUCAUUUCCUGUAUUUUGAAAAAAGGUGGUGCCCCGAAUGUGGACAUAUAGCUUAUCACAUUUACUCCAUACGGUGUGAACGUGACAUGCUGUAUGUUUGCAAUUGGUGCAUUGGCUAUUUUCAAAACAAGAUAGAUGUUUACUAUUCUUUUAAGAUACAAUUUAGUAAAAUCUAAAAUCUAUCCAUCUAUUUAUUUUGCUAUUGCUAUAACUUGUCCCUUACCUCACAAACUUUAACUACUCUAUUCUUCAAACUUGGAAUCGCAAUACAUUAUUGUAGAAAUGUAACUGCUGAAAAAAAUUGGUAAGAAAUUUGGGCAUAACUGUUAUUAAUAUGAUUAAAGGUACGUUCAAUCUGUUUUAUUAUAUAUAUUAACUAUUCUAGUUUGCUUGUCUUGUCCCAUAUUUCACAACUUCAGUUGUUUUCUUGUAAACUUCUCGUUACAAGUUGGUAUUUCUGUCUAGUUGCAAAAUAAGGUUUCUUUAUUCUUUCUUUCUGUGUUAGUCUGUUCCAAUGUUCGAUUUUAUUUUACAUUGUACUUAUCCCAUUUUUUCUCUUUUUCUCUUUCAUGUACCUUGCGAGCAUACGAUGACCGAAAAAGUCAUUGUAUCAGCCAACACACGUGUAUUUUUCACAAAGCCGCGAAACAGAACAAGUAUUUUUAUAAGUGCGUGAAUAACAAUCGGUCGUUGAAGCUCAAAAAAUGUGAGAACAAUAUCGCGCCGUGGUUCAGUGAUAAUAAGGCGAAGAAAUUAGACGAAGAUUCCGCAUGAAGAAUAUAG